UGGGGAAUAUUGCACAAUGGGCGCAAGCCUGAUGCAGCCAUGCCGCGUGUGUGAAGAAGGCCUUCGGGUUGUAAAGCACUUUCAGCGGGGAGGAAGGCGGUGAGGUUAAUAACCUCACCGAUUGACGUUACCCGCAGAAGAAGCACCGGCUAACUCCGUGCCAGCAGCCGCGGUAAUACGGAGGGUGCAAGCGUUAAUCGGAAUUACUGGGCGUAAAGCGCACGCAGGCGGUCUGUCAAGUCGGAUGUGAAAUCCCCGGGCUCAACCUGGGAACUGCAUUCGAAACUGGCAGGCUAGAGUCUUGUAGAGGGGGGUAGAAUUCCAGGUGUAGCGGUGAAAUGCGUAGAGAUCUGGAGGAAUACCGGUGGCGAAGGCGGCCCCCUGGACAAAGACUGACGCUCAGGUGCGAAAGCGUGGGGAGCAAACAGG
rnacentral:rRNA from 3 species